GACCCGUCUGAAGCACGGACCAAGGAGUCUAACAUGUGCGCGAGUCACUGGGUCAUACGAAACCCACAGGCACAAUGAAAGUGAAGGCACCGCCUUGUGCGUGCCGAGGGAAGAUGGGGCCUCCUCGUGGGGCUCCCGCAUUCCCGGGGCGUCUCGUUCUCAUAGCGAGUUGAGGCGCGGCCAGAGCGUACACGUUGGGACCCGAAAGAUGGUGAACUAUGCCUGGCCAGGACGAAGUCAGGGGAAACCCUGAUGGAGGUCCGUAGCGAUUCUGACGUGCAAAUCGAUCGUCGGAGCUGGGUAUAGGGGCGAAAGACUAAUCGAACCAUCUAGUAGCUGGUUCCCUCCGAAGUUUCCCUCAGGAUAGCUGGUGCUCGACCGAGUCUCAUCCGGUCAAGCGAAUGAUUAGAGGCCUUGGGGCCGAAACGACCUCAACCUAUUCUCAAACUUUAAAUGGGUGAGAUCUCCGGCUUGCUUAAAGAUCUGAAGCCGCGAGAGAGAAAGAAGGAUCGGAGUGCCAAGUGGGCCACUUUUGGUAAGCAGAACUGGCGCUGUGGGAUGAACCAAACGCAGAGUUAAGGCGCCCGAAUAGACGCUCAUGGGAAACCAUGAAAGGCGUUGGUUGCUUAAGACAGCAGGACGGUGGCCAUGGAAGUCGGAAUCCGCUAAGGAGUGUGUAACAACUCACCUGCCGAAGCAACUAGCCCUGAAAAUGGAUGGCGCUGACGCGUCUUGCCUAUACUCUGCCGUCAGCACGGCAAUGUGGGGCGACGGUCUUAACGGGCCCCGCCCCGUGAUGCCCUGACGAGUAGGAGGGUCGCGGCGGUGAGCGCAGAAGGGUCUAGGCGUGAGCCUGCCUGGAGCCACCGUCGGUGCAGAUCUUGGUGGUAGUAGCAAAUACUCCAGCGAGGCCCUGGAGGACUGACGUGGAGAAGGGUUUCGUGUGAACAGCCGUUGCACACGAGUCAGUCGAGCCUAAGCCCUAGGAGAAAUCCGAUGUCGAUGGGGUCCGGACCACCAAGUCAGGACCCCGUUGGGCGAAAGGGAAUCCGGUUCCUAUUCCGGAACCCGGCAGCGGAACCGAAACAAGUCGGGCCACUCGAAAGAGUAGCUCGUCGGGGUAACCCAAAAGGACCCGGAGACGCCGUCGGGAGAUCGGGGAAGAGUUUUCUUUUCUGCAUGAGCGUUCGAGUUCCCUGGAAUCCUCUAGCAGGGAGAUAGGGUUUGGAACGCGAAGAGCACCGCAGUUGCGGCGGUGUCCCGAUCUUCCCCUCGGACCUUG
rnacentral:rRNA from 1 species